ACACUGGUCCUUAUUUUGGAAAGAAAAUAAUAAUGGUAGUGGCUAAAUCAGAACUGAGUUCUUUCUGGAUCACUCAGGAUCAAGGGCUAAUCCAUAACUUGUGGUCUUUAAGAGGAGAGCUCUAUUCAUUUCUGUAGCCCUGGGCUUGUGCCCUGAGAGUCAAGUUCCACCACAUGCAUGAGUUCUGUAACACUAAUCAAUAGGUCAUCGUGUGAACUCUUAGUUCAGUGUCAGGUUGUAAAAAUUACAUAGAUUACAAAGAUAAAAAUUACAAAGAUUGCUCUGUAUCUUCCAGGUAUGUGAGUUGUUUCCCUGCAUGAUAGAGAGAUGCUCAGUCUAGCCUGAACAUGCUUUGCUAUGAAGGAGUAAAAGAGAAAGGAACUACAACUGCAUAUCUAUAUUUUUGUGUGACCUACCUGUAUCCAUAGCAAUUUUGAAACAAAAUAAGAGAAGGAAGCACACUCUCUGUCAUCUCUUUGUGAUCAGAAGUGUGUAUUGAAUAUGUGCUUCAGAGGAGUGGAGCUGAUCUGAAACUCUGUCACCUCAUAUAUACUGCUGGGCCACCCUAAGAAAUCCUAAUAAAUCCUUCUGGCUUAAUUGCUAAGCUCUCUGGGGCAUGGAGAUGUGGACAAAAGCAGCAUGUUAAAUGGCCUUCAGGAUGUCAGGAAGUCUAAGAAGCUGAAACCAAGUAUUUGUUAUCACAGAAGAAUUUUUAUUGGAGCUUGAAUGUGCUACACUUUAUAAGAAACGCUUUACUGGGAUACUGGAAUUGUUUCAUUAUUUACAGGGCUGAAGAGUCACCACAGUGGAGUCAGUGGGAAGUGUCAAGGGAAAUUUUUUACUAACAUAGGAAGUGUUUUCAUAUGUGGAAUUGAACCUUUCACACAGCCUGAGACUAUUAUUCUUCAAAUGGUGAUACUGCCUCUUAUGUGUUUGAAAGAAUUUUGAUGAUCAAGCCAUUUCCCCAUGCUGAAAACUGAGUCAGCAACCCAAAGUGCUGUCUCAUGUUAGAAUCUCAGAUUAAGUAAUUCUCUUUUAUAAUGCAGGUGGUUUUUUGCAAGAGGAUAUCCUGGACACCAUCCCCACUGCUGACAAAGUUUAAUCCAGAAGUAGGUCAAAUCCAGAUGAUGAACUAUUGCUGUCAGAGCACCUGCUUGAAGAUCCAGGACUGCAGGAGUACAUUUCUAAAGGGAUGUGGGGGAUAAUAGUUUCCAGAAUGCAUGUUCUCACAUUCCCAAUGCCAUGCAGCUGGAGUAGGAAUAUUGUGCACUCCAUUUCCAUUCCAUCCUGUGUUGUGCUUCAGCUGUAUUUCUGUGCAAAGCUGUGAAGUGUGGGUAGCGAGAGACAGGAGAUGUUUUAUCUGAGAUUUUGAGAGCUUUUAUUCUUGCUUAAUUUGAACUAAGUGGAAGCUAAUAGAUCAACCAAGCCUAAAGAUCCCGUUGCCAAAAAAAAAAAAUACAAAGCUUGAAGUUAAUAGCUAUUUUAAUAGAACAUGUUGCUACUAAAAGAAAUAGUGGAUCCUUUUAACUAAUUCUCUAACCUUUAUUUUAGGAAUGUGAAGAAGAUUCCUCAUUUUAAAACAAUGUUUGGCCUUCAACAAAUUUCCUUCAUGCCAUUGGGACCUGAUAGGUCCUUAGCAUGCAGAAUGAGCAGGUGAUUUAUUCAGGUGCUUGAAACUAUAAUCCUGUAAAGAUUUAUUGCUUCAAAAUCAACUUUAAGACUUCAUUGUGCAUUCUGAAGCCUAGUUUCUAAGUUCUUGCUUUCAGUGUGUUGGUGUUUUGAUUAACCAAUUGGUUUAACUUACCUUUACUGCCAGUUUGUGACAUUUAAUGUAUAUAAGAUAGUCCCUAAUAAAUAACUGCAAUUUUAUUAGCUGAAUAGUUAGAAGGACAUGACUGAUAAGUAAGAUGUCACAUAAAUCAGUACCAAAAAUGACCAGCUCUGGAGGCCAAACAUAGCAAACCCUUAAAUCUCUGCAUCUUCUAUAGAUUUAUUUAUAAAUCAAUGCACAAAUCACAGCUGGGAAGUUAAAUUCAAGAGUAAUUAACUUUAGAUCAAACUGUCUUGAUACGCUGUAAAACAGCCAGAACUUUGAGAACAUAAUUAACUUGCAUAUUGUUUUGUAUUUUACCACAGCAUGGACUAGUUUGAAGAAAGGUUUCUUUGGGUAAGAAGUUGUCACUUAUGAUAGAGUGGUGAAGUAACCCAACAAUUGAGGGUAACUGCACAAUGAACAUAGAAAUGUGACCAUAUCUCUAAAUAGUUAUAAAGCAAUAUUAUUUAUUUUUUAUUAGACAUUUUUCCUUCAUUUGUGUAUGUUUUUUUCUAAUGUCACUAACAAAGUAGAAAUUCUUGGUACAGAGAUGGUCUUUACUGUGGCUGUUCUUUUCCUUGCUGUUGAUCUUUCCUUCAUAAACCCCGCUUCAAAAACUGAA